rnacentral:sRNA from 1 species
CAAACACUUCUUAUCAUCUGGAGGAAAUGUCAAUGAGAAAAACGAUGAAGGAGUAACCCUGUUACACAUGGCGUGUGCGAGUGGCUACAAGGAGGUGGUGUCUCUUAUCCUGGAACAUGGUGGAGACCUCAACAUAGUAGAUGAUCAGUACUGGACUCCCCUCCACUUGGCAGCCAAAUAUGGCCAGACAAACCUGGUGAAACUUCUCCUGAUGCAUCAGGCAAACCCACACCUCGUGAACUGUAAUGAGGAGAAGGCGUCAGAUAUUGCUGCCUCUGAGUUUAUUGAGGAAAUGCUGCUGAAAGCCGAAAUUGCCUGGGAAGAAAAAAUGAGAGAGCCUUUAUCUGCUUCUACCUUAGCUCAAGAAGAGCCCUAUGAAGAGAUCAUUCACGAUCUUCCUGUACUGUCAAGUAAGCUCAGUCCCCUGGUGUUACCAAUUGCCAAGCAAGACAGUUUGUUGGAAAAAGACAUUAUGUUCAAAGAUGCAACAAAAGGUCUGUGUAAGCAGCAGUCUCAGGACAGCAUCCCUGAAAACCCCACGAUGAGUGGUUCCACCAAACCCGAGCAGGUCAAGCUAAUGCCUCCUGCCCCAAACGAUGACCUGGCAACGCUCAGCGAGCUCAAUGACGGCAGCCUGCUCUAUGAGAUUCAGAAGCGCUUUGGGAACAAUCAGAUCUAUACAUUCAUUGGAGACAUUCUUUUGCUUGUUAACCCAUACAAGGAGCUUCCAAUUUAUUCUUCCAUGGUGUCCCAGCUGUAUUUCAGCUCCUCAGGGAAGCUGUGUUCCUCGCUGCCUCCUCACCUCUUCUCGUGUGUGGAGAGAGCCUUUCACCAGCUCUUCCGGGAACAGCGGCCUCAGUGUUUCAUCCUCAGUGGAGAAAGGGGAUCAGGAAAGUCUGAAGCCAGCAAACAAAUCAUAAGACACCUCACCUGCAGGGCUGGCGCCAGCAGGGCCACACUGGAUUCCAGAUUCAAACAUGUCAUGUGCAUCUUAGAAGCCUUUGGACACGCCAAGACCACACUUAAUGAUUUGUCCAGUUGCUUCAUCAAGUAUUUUGAACUGCAGUUCUGUGAGAGGAAACAACAGCUAACCGGAGCCAGAAUUUAUACAUAUUUGCUAGAGAAAUCCAGACUUGUUUCACAACCUCUUGGCCAGAGCAAUUUUCUCAUUUUCUACUUGUUGAUGGAUGGGUUAUCUGCUGAAGAAAAAUAUGGACUUCAUCUUAAUAAUUUAUGUGCACACCGGUAUUUGAACCAGACCAUACAGGACGAUGCAUCCACAGGGGAGCGUUCUCUGAACAGGGAGAAAUUGGCUGUUUUGAAACAAGCCCUGAAUGUAGUUGGCUUCAGCAGCUUGGAGGUGGAGAAUCUGUUCGUAAUUCUAGCAGCAAUAUUGCACCUUGGAGACAUUCGGUUUACUGCCCUGAAUGAGGGGAACUCCGCCUUCGUUUCUGACCUCCAGCUCCUGGAACAAGUGGCUGGAAUGUUACAAGUAUCAACAGAUGAAUUGGCAUCUGCCUUAACAACUGAUAUUCAAUAUUUUAAAGGGGAUAUGAUAAUACGACGACAUACCAUACAGAUUGCUGAGUUUUUCCGAGACCUCUUGGCCAAGUCCCUGUACAGUCGUUUGUUUAGCUUUUUGGUGAAUACCAUGAAUUCUUGCCUCCACAGUCAAGAUGAACAGAAAAGCAUGCAGACAUUGGAUAUUGGAAUAUUGGACAUUUUUGGUUUUGAAGAGUUUCAAAAGAAUGAAUUUGAACAACUUUGUGUCAACAUGACCAAUGAGAAGAUGCACCACUACAUCAAUGAAGUGCUUUUUCUCCACGAGCAAGUGGAAUGUGUACAAGAGGGAGUUACCAUGGAAACAGCAUAUUCUCCUGGUAACCAGAAUGGAGUUUUGGACUUUUUUUUCCAGAAGCCAUCUGGAUUUCUCACCUUAUUGGAUGAAGAAAGUCAAAUGAUUUGGUCAGUGGAAUCAAAUUUUCCAAAAAAGCUACAAAGUCUCCUAGAAUCCUCAAACACAAAUGCGGUGUACUCCCCCAUGAAGGAUGGGAAUGGGAAUGUUGCCCUCAAAGACCACGGUACAGCCUUCACCAUCAUGCACUACGCAGGAAGGGUAAUGUAUGAUGUUGUUGGGGCGAUUGAAAAAAAUAAAGACUCCCUUUCACAGAAUCUUCUAUUUGUAAUGAAAACUAGUGAAAAUGUCGUGAUCAAUCAUUUGUUCCAGUCGAAAUUGUCACAAACAGGAUCCCUCGUAUCUGCCUAUCCUUCCUUUAAAUUCCGAGGACAUAAGUCUGCCCUGCUCAGUAAGAAAAUGACAGCUUCUUCAAUUAUUGGAGAAAACAAGAAUUAUCUAGAACUUAGUAAGUUAUUAAAAAAGAAAGGAACUUCUACAUUUCUUCAAAGAUUGGAACGAGGAGAUCCAGUCACCAUAGCAUCACAACUCAGGAAAUCACUAACGGAUAUUAUUGGAAAACUUCAGAAGUGCACUCCACACUUCAUUCAUUGCAUCAGGCCCAAUAACUCAAAGCUGCCAGAUACUUUUGAUAAUUUUUACGUGUCUGCUCAGCUACAAUAUAUUGGGGUCCUGGAGAUGGUGAAGAUCUUCCGAUAUGGAUACCCUGUUCGCCUUUCCUUCUCGGAUUUCCUGUCAAGGUAAAUUCUUCUGCUCUUAAAAUCGUUGUUCUAGCUGCUGUUCAGUGCAGUAUACUGACACUGACACUAUUAUAGCAAGGGUCUUCUGUUGUCUUUUUUGGCAUUGCUUUUGUUGUUUACUUUUUUCUAUCUCCAAUAAACAAAAUAUUCUGGGAAACAAUGAAAUACACUGACAAAGCUCACAUAAAAAAUAAUUAAACUGUACUGAGGACAGUAUCUUGGAAACCAUUCUCAUGUUCCUUUCAAAGUGUGGCUUUCCUUGGAUUAAAGUUUUAUAAAAUGAUUGCAUAUGAUAUUUACUAUUUAUUAUUUAAAAGGAGAAUGUAUGUAAGUGAUUAUUUCCCCUUUUAUAUAUGAACAAAAUAUUAUUUAGAUCAGUGGUUGGCAAACUACACUCAAGGGCCAGCCAAAUCCAGCCUACCACCUGUUUUUGUAAAUAAAGUUUUAUUGGAACAUGGCCAC